UAAUUUUUAGAAAAUUUUGUAAGUUUGGCAAUAGAUCUGCAAGUGAAAUUUUUAGAAUUUUUGGAUAUAUAUGUAUUUAAUAUAUGCUGUGAGUUUUAGCUUGAUUAAAAAAUUGGAUCAAGGAUUAUUGAAGUUUGAGUGGGUCCGGGUCUUGGAAAAAAGAGUUUUAGAUCUAGUAAGGAUUUCUAAGUUUUCUUGCAAUCUAUCAAUUAGAUUGGAAUAAAAAUUAUAUAUAUGGGUAAUAGAUUUAUUUUACUACAUAUAUAAAAAAUUUGAAAUCAAUU
rnacentral:lncRNA from 1 species